UACGAGGGGGGCGAGCGUUGUUCGGAAUUAUUGGGCGUAAAGAGCGCGCAGGCGGUCGUUCAAGUCGCGUGUGAAAGCCCCCGGCUCAACUGGGGAGGGUCACGCGAUACUGAUCGACUCGAAGGCAGGAGAGGGUAGUGGAAUUCCCGGUGUAGUGGUGAAAUGCGUAGAUAUCGGGAGGAACACCAGUGGCGAAGGCGGCUUCCCGGACCGGUUCUGACACUGAGGAGCGAAAGCGUGGGGAGCGAUCCGG
rnacentral:rRNA from 1 species